GUGCCAGCCGCUGCGGUAAUACGGAGGAUCCGAGCGUUAUCCGGAUUUAUUGGGUUUAAAGGGUGCGUAGGCGGCCUGUUAAGUCAGGGGUGAAAUACGGCAGCUCAACUGUCGCAGUGCCCUUGAUACUGACGGGCUUGAAUACCGGUGAAGGCGGCGAAUGAGACAAGUAGCGGUGAAAUGCAUAGAUAUGUCUCAGAACCCCGAUUGCGAAGGCAGCUGCCUAACCGGCGAUUGACGCUGAUGCACGAAAGCGUGGGGAUCGAACAGGAUUAGAUACCCUGGUAGUCCACGCCCUAAACGAUGAUGACUCGAUGUUGGCGAUAGACUGCCAGCGUCCAAGCGAAAGCGUUAAGUCAUCCACCUGGGGAUACGCCCGCAAGGGUGAAACUCAAAGGAAUUGACGGGGCCCGCACAAGCGGAGGAGCAUGUGGUUUAAUCGAUGAUACGCGAGGAACCUUACCCGGGCUUAGAAAGUUACUGGCGCUCCCGGAGACGGGAGC
rnacentral:rRNA from 1 species